UACGUAGGGCGCAAGCGUUGUCCGGAAUUAUUGGGCGUAAAGAGUUCGUAGGCGGUUCGUUAAGUCUGAUGUUAAAGACUGGGGCUCAACCUCGGAAAUGCAUUGGAUACUGACGGACUGGAGUAUGGUAGAGGCAAGUGGAAUUCCCAGUGUAGCGGUGAAACGCGUAGAUAUUGGGAAGAACACCGGUGGCGCAAGCGACUUGCUGGGCCAUAACUGACGCUGAGGAACGAAAGCUAGGGGAG
rnacentral:rRNA from 1 species